UUUUUCCAUUCAUCUGGGCAUUUUAUAUACGAGGUGUUAGCUAGGAUGUCAUAAGAUUUCCGUUAAUCUUCCUUUGAAAAAAAUAAAGCCGGAAACAGAAAGCUGCAGGAAAGGAAGAGUGGUUAUAGAGGUACGCCAGCCAAUGAGAAGCCAACGUGAGAGCAGCAAAGCCAAGAGAUGAAGCGAGGAACGAAACAUCGUACAGCUGAUGCUCUUCAAGCUACUGUAGCAUUCUCUGGCCGUUGGAGGGGAGAACCCUCUGAUUUGGAGGAGGCUGAAGGAGGUGGAGAGCCGCAGUGAGAACCAGGCUUAGAGCUUGAGUUACUGGAGCUGCUGGAGGAACUGGAGCCUCCGCUGCCACUGUUACUGGUUGGUCUAGGAACCAGUUUCUCCACUCGCUCCCACAGCAGCCGAGGCUCCGCCGCGCUGUAGGGCCAACAAAGUCAGAGAUGAAGCCAUUGUAGAGAUAACGACUUUUAACUUGGUAGGGUUGCAGAAGCACUGUUGCACCAGUGACUGUACUAUGUAAUCAGAUUUUUUAAAAAGUGGGUAGGUUCUGUAUUCUGGCAGAAACCGAUAUUUUCAUGAUGUUAAUAGCGAAUAUUUUGGGCUGAUAUUCAAAUUUUCUUGGCUCAUUGUUCAGAAUGUCCCUAAAUUAUUUUAAAGUGAAGCAAAAAUUGGGAGCCAGUACGAAAGAGCUGUAAAUCAGGAAAUAAAUGAAUAUUAACAAAUAGCAGACAGAAAAACCUACUUAAUAAUGUCAAUAGAUUAUAUUUAAAGUCUAUGAUGAGGAAUACACAUAUGCUAAAUAAGUAAUAGUACAGUAAGAACAGAGUAUAUGUUCUUGAGAUAAAAUUAAAUACAGCACCACAGGGUGAGAGAUGACACACAGAGAAUCUCAUGAGAUGUUUUGUGGUUUGCAAAUCGAAAACUGUAUCACAAGGUUAGACAGCUAGCACUAGUACAUAAACCCUCCCACACAACUCCAUAAACAAGGACUAUAGCAGCCCAGACAGACAGUGAAGGCGAUCCUGUGUGUGAGUUAAAUCUAUCUCCAAACAAGGCAAGCGUUUGUUUUGCAGAGUCAUUGAGAAAGUCAUUCUUUUUCAUGUAUUUUUAAUAACAUAGUUGAAAACAGCAGCCUGGUUUCAUACUGCUUCACAGCACUCAGACCUUUCUCCUGAAGGCUGCCUGCAAAUAACUUUCUUUGACAAAUUUCAAUUUUGCUUUAGUUCCUGAAGGUUUCAGAGCCCUGGACUGAUUCAGCUCCAAUAAAACGUUCUCUGUAAACAUAUAGUAGCUGCACUUAUUCUCCUCUAAAGAUGCAACCAGCGGAGUCCCACAAGGCAAUAAUCAGGGCCCAGUUAUACUCCAAUAAACUUUCUUUUUUCAUAAGUAAUGUAAAGUUUUAUGUUACAGACUGUAUUGUUUGAACAGUAGAUGUAUUAAUCAGAACUACCAAUGAAUGUACAUAUUUAAUAAGAUAUUGCAAAUAUACUGAUUUGUUUUAUAUCUCUUAUCAACGCAUAUGCCAAACCAUUUAUAUUUUCAUCAAAUAGUUAUUUAUACAUUUUAUACAGUGUUAUUUUUUUUUAAUAAUUCCACUGAUAUCCUUUAUAAUCAAACAUACAUCAGGCAUUUACACCAUACAAACUCCAUUCUAAUUUCCAAAGAAACACAGAAUCAUACAAAUCAGAGGGGUAUGUCAGUUUACCUGGCAGAGGGGCGGUGCACAGCAUGGCUGCCGUGUGAGGCGUUGCCAUGGUGAUGAGGCGAGUCUCGCCUUGACAACACCGGGGACCUUGAUGUAGUCCUUACAGGAACCUUUUGUGAUAAAGACAGUGACCAGCUCACACAUAAACACUCUGUGCAGGAAUGUGCUUGAAAAGAGCAGCGAAUACAUAAAAUACACAAAACAUACUGUGACCUAUCAUAACACCUUCAACAACUCUAGUUGACACUAUCCUGCUCAAGACCAUUCAAGAAGUGGCUAACGCUUUUAGCUUAUUUAGCAAACAAUCCAUAUUAAACAGAGAAACAUUAAUUUUCGAACUCAAAAGUCAGUGAUGAAAUUAUCCCAAUCAAAAACACAAUUGAGCUAUGUAAAUUCAUUUAAUCACUGCUUCUAAUGAGCUUUGGAUGUCUAACAUGGCUGCACUUUUAACUAAAUGUAGAAGGACACUGUCUUAUCAAAACCUGAAUACUUGCUUGCAGAGUGAAUCUGUAGACCAAGAGAAUGCAGAACUCAAUUCCACCCAAAACGCAUGUCCUCCACCAACUAAACCGCUUUCCACACCCCAGAGCACCAUUGUAAAACAAAGCUAUCACACCAGUAGUCACAGGUCACACCUAUAGUCAUACCUUUUCCCCUUUCAGAGUCACAUGUAAAUUCAAUAAAGCCAAUGCAGAACAUUUGGGAGCAUCCAAACAACACAACACAGCAGAGCAGAACAGAACUUCCAGUCACAGCAGCCAACAUUAUUUUGCUUUGUUUAGAAGUUUAAAGGUCCCAUGGCAUGAAAAUUUCACUUUGAGGUUUUUAACAUU